AGAAGGUAAUAAUCCUGUAGUCGAAAACGAAUUCUCUCUUGAGUGGAUCCUGAGUACGACGGAGCACGUGAAAUUCCGUCGGAAUCUGGGAGGACCAUCUCCUAAGGCUAAAUACUCUCUAGUGACCGAUAGUGAACCAGUACCGUGAGGGAAAGGUGAAAAGUACCCCGGAAGGGGAGUGAAAGAGAACUUGAAACCGUGUGCUUACAAGUAGUCAGAGCCCGUUAAUGGGUGAUGGCGUGCCUUUUGUAGAAUGAACCGGCGAGUUACGAUCUGAUGCAAGGUUAAGCAGAAAAUGUGGAGCCGUAGCGAAAGCGAGUCUGAAUAGGGCGAAUGAGUAUUUGGUCGUAGACCCGAAACCAGGUGAUCUACCCUUGGUCAGGUUGAAGUUCAGGUAACACUGAAUGGAGGACCGAACCGACUUACGUUGAAAAGUGAGCGGAUGAACUGAGGGUAGCGGAGAAAUUCCAAUCGAACUUGGAGAUAGCUGGUUCUCUCCGAAAUAGCUUUAGGGCUAGCCUCAAGUGAUGAUUAUUGGAGGUAGAGCACUGUUUGGACGAGGGGCCCCUCUCGGGUUACCGAAUUCAGACAAACUCCGAAUGCCAAAUAAUUUAACUUGGGAGUCAGAAUGUGGGUGAUAAGGUCCAUAUUCGAAAGGGAAACAGCCCAGACCACCAGCUAAGGUCCCAAAAUAUAUGUUAAGUGGAAAAGGAUGUGGCGUUGCCCAGACAACUAGGAUGUUGGCUUAGAAGCAGCCAUCAUUUAAAGAGUGCGUAAUAGCUCACUAGUCGAGUGACACUGCGCCGAAAAUGUACCGGGGCUAAACAUAUUACCGAAGCUGUGGAUUGUCCUUUGGACAAUGGUAGGAGAGCGUUCUAAGGGCGUUGAAGCAUGAUCGCAAGGACAUGUGGAGCGCUUAGAAGUGAGAAUGCCGGUGUGAGUAGCGAAAGACGGGUGAGAAUCCCGUCCACCGAUUGACUAAGGUUUCCAGAGGAAGGCUCGUCCGCUCUGGGUUAGUCGGGUCCUAAGCUGAGGCCGACAGGCGUAGGCGAUGGAUAACAGGUUGAUAUUCCUGUACCACCAUUAUUCGUUUUAAGCGAUGGGGGGACGCAGUAGGAUAGGCGAAGCGUGCUGUUGGAGUGCACGUCCAAGCAGUGAGAUUGA
rnacentral:rRNA from 1 species